UCUCCUGGAAACGGGUGGUAAUGCCGGAUGCUCCGGUUGGAUGCAUGUCCUUCCGGGAAAGAUUCUAUCGGUAUGGGAUGGGGUCGCGUCCUAUCAGCUUGAUGGCGGGGUAACGGCCCACCAUGGCUUCGACGGGUAGCCGGCCUGAGAGGGCGACCGGCCACAUUGGGACUGAGAUACGGCCCAGACUCCUACGGGAGGCAGCAGUGGGGAAUAUUGCACAAUGGGCGCAAGCCUGAUGCAGCGACGCCGCGUGCGGGAUGGAGGCCUUCGGGUUGUAAACCGCUUUUGAUCGGGAGCAAGCCCUUCGGGGUGAGUGUACCUUUCGAAUAAGCACCGGCUAACUACGUGCCAGCAGCCGCGGUAAUACGUAGGGUGCAAGCGUUAUCCGGAAUUAUUGGGCGUAAAGGGCUCGUAGGCGGUUCGUCGCGUCCGGUGUGAAAGCCCAUCGCUUAACGGUGGGUCUGCGCCGGGUACGGGCGGGCUGGAGUGCGGUAGGGGAGACUGGAAUUCCCGGUGUAACGGUGGAAUGUGUAGAUAUCGGGAAAGAACACC
rnacentral:rRNA from 1 species